UAGGGAAUCUUCCACAAUGGGCGGAAAGCCUGAUGGAGCAACGCCGCGUGUGUGAUGAAGGGUUUCGGCUCGUAAACACUGUUGUAAGAGAAGAAUGACAUUGAGAGUAACUGUUCAAUGUGUGACGGUAUCUUACCAGAAUGGAACGGCUAAAUACGUGCCAC
rnacentral:rRNA from 1 species